rnacentral:rRNA from 1 species
CUAAGAAUAUUCCGCAAUGGACGGAAGUCUGACGGAGCGACGCCGCGUGGAUGAAGAAGGCCGAAAGGUUGUAAAGUUCUUUUGCUGGGGAAGAAUAACCGCAGGAGGGAAUGCCUGUGGGAUGACAAGAACCGGCGAAUAAGCCCCGGCCAACUACGUGCCAGCAGCCGCGGUAACACGUAGGGGGGCGAGCGUUGUUCGGAAUUACUGGGCGUAAAGGGCAUGUAGGCGGCUUGGAAAGCCUGGCGUGAAAGUCUGCAGCUUAACUGCAGGGGUGCGCUGGGAACUGCUGAGCUUGAGUGACGGAGAGGGAGCUGGAAUUCCUGGUGUAGGGGUGAAAUCUGUAGAUAUCAGGAAGAACACCGAUGGCGAAGGCAAGCUCCUGGCCGAUGACUGACGCUGAGGUGCGAAAGUGUGGGGGAUCAAACAGGAUUAGAUACCCUGGUAGUCCACACAGUCAACGAUGUGCACUAGGUGCUGGGGGC